UUAAAAUCUCAUCUGACCUUUUAAAUUUAGAUCAAGAUAUUGUUAUAGGUAUAGUAUAUAUAACCCCUGAAUAUACUGCUUUUUCUUCACAUGAUGCAUUUAGUCAACUUGAGGACGAGUAUACAAAUUUCUCACAAAAUUACAAAUUCGUAGCCUUAAUUGGAGACUUUAACGGACGAACGGCCAACGACGAUGAUUUUUUUUUUCAAAGAAAUGCAUGGAAACAAUGCGGCGAAUUUUGUAGAAAACGAUGUUUUAACGCUUGACUUAUUGAAUAUACCACGAAAAAGAAAUAGUUUAGACCCUAUAAGAAACAGGUACGGAAACAAAAUUUUAGAUUUUUGCAAAGGAAAUAACUUAUUUAUUGUAAAUGGUAGAAUAGGUGAAGACAGAAUGACAGGAAAGUUAACAUGUAAAAAUGCUAGCAUUGUAGAUUAUUGUAUAAGUUCUACAAGUUUAUUGAAAUAUUUUAGAAAUUUUUCUGUACUUGAUUUCAGUCAUUUUUAUUCAGAUGUUCAUUGUGCACUAGCAAUUUCAUUGUCGGGGUUAUCCCUGAAAAAUGUAGAGGAAACGGGGGGAAAUCGUAAUUGUCAAACAUUUUCUGAAAAAAUUAAGAAAUGGGAUAAUGAAAAAUGUCAUGAAUUUAAAGAUCAGAUUGAACAAGGCAAAGUUGAUGAAUUAAAGAUACUAUUAGACGAAGUUGAAAGUGGAAACCUAGAUUUUAGUAAAAAGUACUCGUCAGUUGAUAAAACAAAAAUUAAUACCUUACUUGACCAUUUAUGUUCAAUAUUCUGUAAAUCUGCGAAAUCCACAUUUGGAACUUGUAAAUUUUCGAAUUCUAAGAAAAAAGGUAAAAAGAAACUUGGAAAAUUGAAAAAAGAAUGGUUUAAUGACGACUGUCACUUUGAGAGACAAAAUUUCAGAAAACGUAAAAGAAAAUUCAAAACAAAUAGAACAGAUCAAAAUUUUCAAGACUUGAAACAAGCUGAAAAAAGAUAUAAAAAAGUUAUGGAUCAAGCUAUUCUUGAUCACAAAAGAAAUUUGUCAAAGAAAAUUAAAAAUUUAAAAUCAAAUAAUUCACAAGAAUUCUGGAAACUAUUAAAAAAUGGGAAAAACCGGGAGCAACCCGACAUUCCCAUGGAAAAACUUUUUGAAUUUUUUAAAUCUUUAAACGAGGAACCAAAUGACAAGCAAGACUUUAACAUACCAUAUAUUGACCCUAACGAUAUUAAUCGUCUGAACGAAAGUAUAAAUAGAAACAUUUCAAAAGACGAAAUUAAAAAAUGUAUUAAAAAAACUAAAAAA
rnacentral:lncRNA from 1 species